GCGGAGAUAGCCAAGCGGCCCACGGCGCCGGUCUUGAAAACCGGUGGUGCCCUGCACCCCGGGAGUUCAAAUCUCCCUCUCCGCG
rnacentral:tRNA from 1 species